UUAAAUCUAAAAGACAUAUUUGUUUGGCUAUUCAUUGCUUUAUUGCUACUAAAAUUAUUAUAGCUAGACAGUGGAAAUCUUCCAUUCCCUUUCAAAAAACCUCUUUAAUCAAAUUAAAUUUCAAUUAACAAUGGAAAAUGAUAUGGUCAAAAAUUGGUCAGUGUUAUCUAAAAAAAGAGAUUGGUAUUCAACUUGGCUAAAAAAUUGUUCUCUACUUUAUGGUAAUUUAUAAUUUAUAAGGUGAC